rnacentral:rRNA from 1 species
CUGCAUGGCUGUCGUCAGCUCGUGUUGUGAAAUGUUGGGUUAAGUCCCGCAACGAGCGCAACCCUUAUCCUUUGUUGCCAGCGAUUAGGUCGGGAACUCAAAGGAGACUGCCAGUGAUAAACUGGAGGAAGGUGGGGAUGACGUCAAGUCAUCAUGGCCCUUACGACCAGGGCUACACACGUGCUACAAUGGCGCAUACAAAGAGAAGCGACCUCGCGAGAGCAAGCGGACCUCAUAAAGUGCGUCGUAGUCCGGAUUGGAGUCUGCAACUCGACUCCAUGAAGUCGGAAUCGCUAGUAAUCGUGGAUCAGAAUGCCACGGUGAAUACGUUCCCGGGCCUUGUACACACCGCCCGUCACACCAUGGGAGUGGGUUGCAAAAGAAGUAGGUAGCUUAACCUUCGGGAGGGCGCUUACCACUUUGUGAUUCAUGACUGGGGUGAAGUCGUAACAAGGUAACCGUAGGGGAACCUGC